rnacentral:rRNA from 1 species
ACUCCUACGGGAGGCAGCAGUGGGGAAUAUUGCACAAUGGGCGCAAGCCUGAUGCAGCCCAUGCCGCGUGUGUGAAGAAGGCCUUCGGGUUGUAAAGCACUUUUCAGUUCGUGAGGAAGGUAGUGUAGUUAAUAGCUGCAUUAUUUGACGUUAGCGACAGAAGAAGCACCGGCUAACUCCGUGCCAGCAGCCGCGGUAAUACGGAGGGUGCGAGCGUUAAUCGGAAUUACUGGGCGUAAAGCGCAUGCAGGUGGUUUGUUAAGUCAGAUGUGAAAGCCCGGGGCUCAACCUCGGAAUUGCAUUUGAAACUGGCAGACUAGAGUACUGUAGAGGGGGGUAGAAUUUCAGGUGUAGCGGUGAAAUGCGUAGAGAUCUGAAGGAAUACCGGUGGCGAAGGCGGCCCCCUGGCACAGAUACUGACACUCA